rnacentral:tRNA from 1 species
GAGGGUACAGCUUAAAGUGGUAGAGCGCAUGCUUAACAUGCACGAGGUCCUGGGUUCAAUUCCCAGUACCUCCU